UAGCGUGUGUGCAGUAGCAUGGCUGGCAGUAGCUAGCUAGUUCGUUGGUGUGCGUCGUGUGUGCGGCUGUAGCAAACUAGUUUGUUGGUGUGUGUAGCGUGGCUGUAGGGAUCUGCGGAGAGGCAGGUCUGGGUCAUGUGGAUCAUGGGUGAUCAAGUCAGCUAUUAGUGCGUGAGUGCAUGUAGUGGAGCAAGUCGUGUGCAUAAGAGCCGGGCAGGUUGUUGCCUGGCUGUGUGUGUGCGUGUUGGGUAUAAAACCCACCCUCGGUGUAUUGGUUGGUUGAGUUGGAGCCAGCCAUGUAGACAUUGUAAAGGAGAGGAAAGAUUAGGGCGUGCGUGCGCCCACGGCGGCGUUCGUGCGCCGGCCCGGAAUUUCUUGUGUCUUGUGUCUUCUUCUACCUCCGUCCAGCCGUGAGAGGGAGAGGUAGCUAGGGUUGCCCCAAUGUUGCAACAACAUUUGGUAUCAGAGCUUUGUGUCUUGGGCGUGCGUGCCAUGCCGGAGGCGUGGCAGCACUCGCCAGCGGCUGCACGAUGGAGCUCUGGGCCAUGUGUCGGCCUCUGGAGGAGGGCGGUGCUGUAGUUGUCAUGGCGCGUGGCGGAGGCGGCGGGCGAUAACGUCGUACGUGCGGCGACCGCGGAGGCCACCGAGGCGCUGCAUGGUGGCUGCGGCGGCACGGUGAGGAGGCCGUGGAGGACCUGCGUGGUGGCGGCUUCAACGACGAUGACGACACGAUGAGCGCGCCGCGGUGGCUCGGCGCGACAACGGUGGAGGCGCGUGGCACAGAGCCGCGGCGCUCGUGUCGGAUGCGUCAGGCGCGUGUAUGGGCGCGCGCCGGGCGUGUCAGGCGCGGCGGGACCGUGGUGUAGGGUGGCCGUUGGCGAGCGGGGGUGUGCGUGUUGAGCUGGUCCAUCGCGGGCUCGCCGCGCCCAGACGUGUGCGUGCAUGUCGGAGGGGGCGCGGGCAGAGCGGGCGGGACGGGUGCUCGACGUGGGCUGGGACGUGGGUGCGUGCCCGGCGCGUCUCUGGGUAUAAAACCCCCCGUGUACGUUGUAAUGGCAGUGCCCGGAGUCGAGUUCGAGCUCGAGGAAAUCAAGGCCGUCAGUGCGCCAGGUCGAGUCCGCGGCCGUGACGACGACAACGAUGGAAGCUGCACCAACUGCGGUGACGGCGGAUCAUGGCUUAGGGCAUGAAUGAUGGGAAUAAGCCAUGCUCAGGUCCGUGGUAACCGGCGAGUGUGCGCGUACGUGCCAGGUCUGUGGUGACCGGCCGUGUGUAGCGUGUGUGCAGUAGCUAGCUAGUUCGUUGGUGUGCGUCGUGUGUGCAGCUGUAGCGAACUAGUUUGUUGGUGUGUGUAGCGUGGCUGUAGGGAUCUGCGGAGAGGCAGGUCCGGGUCAUGUGGAUCAUGGGUGAUCAAGUCAGCUAUUAGUGCGUGAGUGCAUGUAGUGGAGCAAGUCGUGUGCAUAAGAGCCGGGCAAGUUGUUGCCUGGCUGUGUGUGUGCGUGUUGGGUAUAAAACCCACCCCCGGUGUAUUGGUUGGUUGAGUUGGAGCCAGCCAUGUAGACAUUGUAAAGGAGAGGAAAGAUUAGGGCGUGCAUGCGCCCACGGCGGCGUUCGUGCGCCGGCCCGGAAUUUCUUGUGUCUUGUGUCUUCUUCUACCUCCGUCCAGCCGUGAGAGGGAGAGGUAGCUAGGGUUGCCCCAAUGUUGCAACAACACUUGUUCGGGUAGUAGCAGAUCUGAAAGUCGUGGCCGGCCGCCUUGAACUUGCUGGACUCGAUGUGCUCACCGUCGACGAGCAGCUUGGUCACGGAGUAGCCCUCCACCUUGAGCUCGUGGGAGCCGGCGCUCGCCGUGGUGGUGAUCGUCGAGCGCGUGGGCGGCGGCGGAAGCUUCAUGCCGGCCAUGGUUGGUCGCUGAUCGGAUCGGAGGCUAGCAUGGUCGGCGAGAUAUGUUGGUUUGCUCGUUUGUUUUCUCGGCGGUGGGUUUGGAUUUUAGAACGUCCAAGGCGUACGUGCUGCACCGUUAUAUAUACUGCAUAGUACUGCCUAGGUCGACAUGUCGUCUGCCGAUUGUUACUUGGAACGAGAUUCCAAUAUUUGUAUCCAGGACUACUCGUAUCUCCGAUCUCGUCCAGAAUAAGAUAUCCUUUGCUACGUGUUCAUGAG
rnacentral:lncRNA from 1 species